rnacentral:rRNA from 1 species
AGUGAACGCUGGCGGUAGGCCUAACACAUGCAAGUCGAACGGCAGCACAGUAAGAGCUUGCUCUUACGGGUGGCGAGUGGCGGACGGGUGAGGAAUACAUCGGAAUCUACUUUUUCGUGGGGGAUAACGUAGGGAAACUUCCGCUAAUACCGCUUCGCACCUACGGGUGAAAGCAGGGGAUCUUCGGCCCUUGCGCGUUUGAAUGAGCCGAUGUCGGAUUAGCUAGUUGGCGGGGUAAAGGCCCACCAAGGCGACGAUCCGUAGCUGGUCUGAGAGGAUGAUCAGCCACACUGGAACUGAGACACGGUCCAGACUCCUACGGGAGGCAGCAGUGGGGAAUAUUGGACAAUGGGCGCAAGCCUGAUCCAGCCAUACCGCGUGGGUGAAGAAGGCCUUCGGGUUGUAAAGCCCUUUUGUUGGGAAAGAAAAGCAGCAGGUUAAUACCCCGCUGUUCUGACGGUACCCAAAGAAUAAGCACCGGCUAACUUCGUG